rnacentral:ncRNA from 1 species
UUAAAGUUAAUUCUAGCUUUAUUAUUUAUAAUUUAUUUGUUUAUAUAUAUUAAUUUUUGUGAGUUUUAAAAAAAAUUUUAAAAAUUUAUGAAUUAAAAUGUAUUAUUUAAUAUUAAAAAAUAAAGAAAUUUAGAUUUAGCACUAUAAAAAUUAUUAACAAAUUUUGUGCCAGCAGUUGCGGUUAUACUAAAAAUAAUUUAAAUAUUCAUUUGUAAUUAAUUAAUAUGAUUAUAUAAUUAAAUAAUAAAAAAUUAAUUUAUUAGGUAAAAUUUUAAAUUAAUAAAAAAUUAAAAAUUUAACAAUUUAUGAAGUUAAGGAAAUAAUUUGAUUAAACUAGGAUUAGAUACCCUAUUAUAAAAAUUAAUAAGUUAAAAAUAAAGUAGUAAAAGUUAUAUUCUUAAAACUUAAAGAAUUUGGCAGUAUUUUAACCUAAUUAGAGGAACCUAUUUAUUAAUUGAUAUUCCACGAUUAAUUUUACUUAAUUUAAUUAAAUUUGUAUAUCGUUGUUAUAAAAAUUUUUUUCUGAAAAAAAUUUUAAAAUUUUAAUAAAAAUUUAUAUCAAAUCAAGAUGCAGUAUAUAAUUAAGAAUUUAAUGGGUUAUCAUAAUUAAAUUUAUGGAAAAAUUUAUGAAAAAUAAUUUAAAAAUUAGAUUUAAAAGUAAUUUAAAUAAAUUUAUUUAAAUGAUUUAGUUCUAAAAUAUGCACAUAUUGCCCGUCAUUUUCAUUUUAAAUUGAAACAAGUCGUAACAUAGUAGAAUUACUGGAAAGUGUUUCUAGAAAGAA